rnacentral:rRNA from 1 species
CCUACGGGCGGCAGCAGUGGGGAAUAUUGGACAAUGGGGGCAACCCUGAUCCAGCCAUGCCGCGUGUGUGAAGAAGGCCCUCGGGUUGUAAAGCACUUUCAGUGAGGAAGAACGCCUGGUGGUUAAUACCCAUCAGGAAAGACAUCACUCACAGAAGAAGCACCGGCUAACUCCGUGUCAGCAGCCGCGGUAAUACGGAGGGUGCGAGCGUUAAUCGGAAUUACUGGGCGUAAAGCGCGCGUAGGUGGCUUGAUAAGCCGGUUGUGAAAGCCCCGGGCUCAACCUGGGAACGGCAUCCGGAACUGUCAAGCUAGAGUGCAGGAGAGGAAGGUAGAAUUCCCGGUGUAGCGGUGAAAUGCGUAGAGAUCGGGAGGAAUACCAGUGGCGAAGGCGGCCUUCUGGACUGACACUGACACUGAGGUGCGAAAGCGUGGGUAGCAAACAGGAUUAGAUACCCCAGUAGUC